AGUACGGCCGCAAGGUUAAAACUCAAAGGAAUUGACGGGACCCGCACAAGCGGUGGAGCAUGUGGUUUAAUUCGAUGCAACGCGAAGAACCUUACCUGGUCUUGACAUCCUGCGAACUUUCUAGAAAUAGAUUGGUGCCUUCGGGAACGCAGUGACAGGUGCUGCAUGGCUGUCGUCAGCUCGUGUCGUGAGAUGUUGGGUUAAGUCCCGUAACAAGCGCAACCCCUAUCCUUAUUUGCCAGCACAUCAUGGUGGGAACUAUAAGGAGACUGCCGGUGAUAAACCGGAGGAAGGCGGGGACGACGUCAAGUCAUCAUGGCCCUUACGACCAGGGCUACACACGUGCUACAAUGGGAAGGACAAAGAGCCGCGAAGCCGCGAGGUGUAGCUAAUCUCAUAAACCUUUUCGUAGUCCGGAUUGGAGUCUGCAACUCGACUCCAUGAAGUCGGAAUCGCUAGUAAUCGUAGAUCAGAAUGCUACGGUGAAUACGUUCCCGGGUCUUGUACACACCGCCCGUCAUACCAUGGGAGUGGGUUGCACCAGAAGUGGCUAGUCUAACUUAGUGAGGACGGUCACCACGGUGUGAUUCAUGACUGGGGUAAAGUCGUAACAAGGUAACC
rnacentral:rRNA from 1 species